AAAGAUUUAUCUUCUUCAGAGGAAUUUGGAACAGAAGUAGGAAGAAAGUAGGAAACGGGGGAGCUUGGUCUGAUGGUACUCUGGAUGCUUCCUCCAGCUAAAACAGAAAGCUCUUUCCACGUGCCAGCCCAUGCUAAAGGGCUUUACAUGCGUGAUUCUCAGAACAGCCCAUUGAGAUCUCUCUGUUGGAAGUCUCUGAGUGGAGGAAUUCGUCUGCUGUGAUCCCAGCACCUAGAACAGGGCUCAGCCCAUAGGCGUGACCUAAUUUGGAGAAAAACAUCUUUGCAGAUGUGA